ensembl:lncRNA
CUCUGUGUGCGUUCUUCAGAGAAGGUCCAAAAGUAUUGAUUAUCUUUGCCAUUUAUAGGCAUGCAGUGAUCUUGAAUAGCCCAUUGGCUCCUUAUUGGACCUGCGUUUAUUUCCUCCGACAGGCGCACACGUGCUUGUAAGUGGAGCCCUCCUGUCCCGGCCAAUCACAGCUGCUUGGGUGAAAUUCUGGAGGGUGUCAGUCAGACCAAUAAAACCACGUGCUGUGCCGAAGACUGUGUACAUACUUUCCCUGUGUAAUGGAAUACUGUGCAAAUGUCAGAGCGGAGGAAUUUGCAAUGCAUUGACUUGUCGAAUAGCUUGGAUACAUGUUGUGAAUUUGCUACAGGAGCUGCAUGAACAUGCUAGUACUCGGAACGCAUGGAUAGAAAGAGGAAAUGAACCUAUCUCUGCUUUGUUUUGGUCUCUCCGUUGAGACCAUGUAAUCUUGUCCUCACUGGCUUAUCUGCUCUCCAUGGGUGAAGUAUCUCUUUGAAAACAAUCUGCUUAGCUGCUUUUCUUGCCCCUGGAGAGGGAAUGGGCAUAAGAAAUCCAGAGCCAUGUGUUCUGUUCAGCUUCACAUGCACUUAUCUAUGCUGUUUUAUUUCUGUUUCCAGAUUAUGUCCAUCAUAAUCAUUUGAGCUGUAGUUUGACCGUCAGAAUGAGAAUUUUAAAAAUCAUUUGACAUGAUAUACUAUUACAGUCUUAUUGCAGCUUUUUUUUAUGUAGUCUUGAUUUUUUUUAUAUAUAUAUAUAUAUAUAUGUGUGUGUGUAUAUGUAAACAAGUAGUUGAUAUAGGAUCGUGGAUUAAAUCGGAACAAUUCCUUAACAAAGUGGUGCUAUGCCUGUGAUCCAGUUUGUUACCAAUUCAAGUUAUUAAAGCUUUCUCAAGUCAAUGUUCUGUCUCUUACCUUGGCUUCUGUGCCUGUCUUUGUGAUAUAGCCUAGUUAUUUUAGAAUUACACCCUUACAAGUGCUUAAUUCAUACUAUAUUUGCUAUUUAAGUUAAACUGUGGUCAUACUAUGCUUUUUGAAUGCACAACUACAUCAGACCCUUCACACUUGCAAACCAUGCAGAUUUGAGUUUUAUCCAAGAGUUCAAUCUGUGAUGCUUUGUUCAAAUGC